GGGUGAUAUGGAGCAUUUGCCAGUUUCCAUGGUGUAAAUGGUUGAUUUCAAUCCACCAUGGUUGAUUUCAACCUAUAUAGUGUAAAAAGGGGAAAAGAAAAAUAAAAGGAUCAGAUAAGAGUAUGAAAAAAGAGGAGGGAAGAGAAAAUAAAAAAGGAAUAUAAAAAGAAAAUAUCUCAUACAGAGAACAUUACAUGUUGUAAGAUAAGUCUCAUUUAAUGAAAUUUCUGUUUCUGUUAUACACACAUGUGUAUGUAUGUGCUAUAUGCAUGUAUUGGGUAGUGAUGUGAAAUGAACUUCUUACUGUGGUUGGUCUGAAAAC
rnacentral:lncRNA from 1 species